AAUUUUGGACAAUGGGGGCAACCCUGAUCCAGCCAUCCCGCGUGUGCGAUGAAGGCCUUCGGGUUGUCCAGCACUUUUGGCAGGGAAGAAAAGGCUCUGGCUAGUAACUGGGGUUGCUGACGGUACCUGCAUAAGACGCACCGCCUAACUACGUACCGGCAGCCGCGGUAAUACGUAGGGUGCAAGCGUUAAUCGGAAUUACUGGGCGUAAAGCGUGCGCAGGCGGUUCGGCAAGAAGGAUGUGAAAUCCCAGGGCUUAACCUUGGAACUGCAUUCUUAACUGCCGGGCUAGAGUAUGUCAGAGGGGGGUAGAAUUCCGCGUGUAGCAGUGAAAUGCGUAGAGAUGCGGAGGAAUACCGAUGGCGAAGGCAGCCCCCUGGGAUAAUACUGACGCUCAUGCACGAAAGCGUGGGGAGCAAAC
rnacentral:rRNA from 1 species